UUCCAGCCCUGCCCCCCGCCCCAGGUUCGCCACUGGACCUGGGCAGGUACAGGGUAAGCCGGGUCCAGGCCACCAAAUUCAGAUGCUGGUAAUCUGAGGUUACAGGGCCUGUUGCUGAUCUGCAGUGAUAACAAGAGCUUCCUGGCCUUCCCUCCCGUGCUCAGAGAGGGCAAAGGGCUACCCCGACGUCACACAGCCUGGGUCCUUUUUACUUUCUCCAAGGCCCCAGUGAACUUUCUUUAGCACCAGAGUUAGGAAACUGCCUAUGCCCAGAAUGGGAGAGUGACUGUUGGGAGCACGACGCCCCAUCAAAUCCUCGCUCUUCCCUUUUCUAAGAGAACUGAACAGACCUGGGCAAGGGGCUCCUCUGCUCCGAGAGGGCCGAGGAGGAGCAGGAGCAAGCUGGGGCCGUGGCAGGAAGCUGGGCACCCGGAGUUGUCUGUGUUAACUGGGGCGGCCAGAAGCAGAGAAAAGGCAAUGUGAGGAGCCCAUCUGUGGUUUCAGACCCGAGUACCAGCUGAACUAGUCAGGAGACCUGACUAGUCCCCAGCAGGGGCAGCAGGCAGACCUGGUUUCAAGCUCCUGGGUUAUUUGCUCCUUCACUGUCUCAUCGACCUGCACUUUCUCACAGGCACAGGCUGCAGGCCUCAGAACAAGAGUUCCUUCCUCCCUGCGAAGUUCCCCCAGCUAUUCCUGGGGUGUUUGGGAACAUGCCUCCAGCUUUGGCAAAGAAGGAGUCUCCGUUACCUGUUUCAUUUCAAGGAAGAGGACA